GCAGGAGUCAAACUCGCGAGAAAGUGAUUAUGAGCAAAAGAGAAAAUGCCUUCAGCGAGCUAGAGCUGUGUUUGAAAGAGCCCUUAGCUACUUCAGAACUUCUGCCCCUGAAUCGAAAGAGGAAAUGGCAAUGCUUUUGGAAGAAUGGUUGAACAUGGAAAGCAGCUUUGGCGAAGUUGGUGAUGUUGAUUUGGUCCGUGCUAAGCUGCCAAAGAAACUCAAAAAGAGAAGGCAAAUAAAAACUGAGGAUGGUCCAACCGGGUAUGAGGAGUACAUCGACCAUCUUUCCCUUGAAGAAACGCGAACAACAAAUCUUAAGA